GUGCUGCCUUGUGCAGUACAUAUAAUAAAAUUGGAACGAUACAGAGAAGAUUAGCAUGGGCCCCUGGCGCAAGGAUGACACGCAAUUUCGUGAAGCGUUCCAAAUUUUU